rnacentral:rRNA from 1 species
GACGAACGCUGGCGGCGUGCUUAACACAUGCAAGUCGAACGGAAAGGCCCUGCUUUUGUGGGGUGCUCGAGUGGCGAACGGGUGAGUAACACGUGAGUAACCUGCCCUUGACUUUGGGAUAACUUCAGGAAACUGGGGCUAAUACCGGAUAGGAGCUCCUGCUGCAUGGUGGGGGUUGGAAAGUUUCGGCGGUUGGGGAUGGACUCGCGGCUUAUCAGCUUGUUGGUGGGGUAGUGGCUUACCAAGGCUUUGACGGGUAGCCGGCCUGAGAGGGGGACCGGCCAAAGUGGGACUGAGAUACGGCCCAGACUCCUACGGGAGGCAGCAGUGGGGAAUAUUGCACAAUGGGCGGAAGCCUGAUGCAGCAACGCCGCGUGAGGGAUGACGGCCUUCGGGUUGUAAACCGCUUUCGCCUGUGACGAAGCGUGAGUGACGGUAAUGGGUAAAGAAGCACCGGCUAACUACGUG